GGCCCCUUAGCUCAGUGGUUAGAGCACUCGACUCAUAAUCGAUUGGUCCCCAGUUCAAGUCUGGGAGGGGUCA
rnacentral:tRNA from 1 species